GAUGAACGCUGGCGGCGUGCCUAAUACAUGCAAGUCGAGCGAACGGACGAGAAGCUUGCUUCUCUGAUGUUAGCGGCGGACGGGUGAGUAACACGUGGAUAACCUACCUAUAAGACUGGGAUAACUUCGGGAAACCGGAGCUAAUACCGGAUAAUAUUUUGAACCGCAUGGUUCAAAAGUGAAAGACGGUCUUGCUGUCACUUAUAGAUGGAUCCGCGCUGCAUUAGCUAGUUGGUAAGGUAACGGGUUACCAAGGCAACGAUGCAUAGCCGACCUGAGAGGGUGAUCGGCCACACUGGAACGGAGACACGGUCCAGACUCCUACGGGAGGCAGCAGUAGGGAAUCUUCCGCAAUGGGCGAAAGCAUGACGGAGCAACGCCGCGUGAGUGAUGAAGGUCUUCGGAUCGUAAAACUCUGUUAUUAGGGAAGAACAUAUGUGUAAGUAACUGUGCACAUCUUGACGGUACCUAAUCAGAAAGCCACGGCUAACUACGUG
rnacentral:rRNA from 1 species